rnacentral:rRNA from 1 species
UACGGAGGGUGCGAGCGUUGUCCGGAAUCAUUGGGCGUAAAGGGCGCGUAGGCGGUGUGUCAAGUCAGGCGUGAAAGCCCCGGGCUCAACCUGGGAACCGCGCUUGAGACUGGCACGCUCGAGUUCGGGAGAGGAUGGUGGAAUUCCCAGUGUAGAGGUGAAAUUCGUAGAUAUUGGGAAGAACACCGAUGGCGAAGGCAGCCAUCUGGGACCGACACUGACGCUGAGGCGCGAAAGCGUGGGGAGCAAACAGG